UACGUAGGGGGCAAGCGUUGUCCGGAAUCAUUGGGCGUAAAGAGCGCGUAGGCGGUCCGGUAAGUCCGCUCUGAAAGUCCGGGGCUCAACCCCGGGAGGCGGGCGGAUACGGUCGGGCUAGAGUCCGGAAGAGGCGAGUGGAAUUCCUGGUGUAGCGGUGAAAUGCGCAGAUAUCAGGAGGAACACCAAUGGCGAAGGCAGCUCGCUGGGACGGUACUGACGCUGAGGUGCGAAAGCGUGGGGAGCAAACAGG
rnacentral:rRNA from 1 species